rnacentral:rRNA from 1 species
AACGAACGCUGGCGGCAGGCUUAACACAUGCAAGUCGAACGCCCCGCAAGGGGAGUGGCAGACGGGUGAGUAACGCGUGGGAACAUACCCUUUCCUGCGGAAUAGCUCUGGGAAACUGGAAUUAAUACCGCAUACGCCCUACGGGGGAAAGAUUUAUCGGGGAAGGAUUGGCCCGCGUCGGAUUAGCUAGUUGGUGGGGUAAAGGCCUACCAAGGCGACGAUCCAUAGCUGGUCUGAGAGGAUGAUCAGCCACAUUGGGACUGAGACACGGCCCAACCUCCUACGGGAGGCUGCAGUGGGGAAUAUUGGACAAUGGGCGCAAGCCUGAUCCAGCCAUGCCGCGUGAGUGAUGAAGGCCUUAGGGUUGUAAAGCUCUUUCACCGAUGAAGAUAAUGACGGUAGUCGGAGAAGAAGCCCCGGCUAACUUCGUGCCAGCCGCCGCCGUAAGAC